rnacentral:rRNA from 1 species
AGUCACUGACAUUAGAUACCCGUGUAGUCCCAGCCGUAAACUAUGCGCGUUAGGUGUAUCGGUGACCACGAGUCACCGAGGUGCCGAAGGGAAACCGUGAAACGUGCCGCCUGGGAAGUACGGUCGCAAGGCUGAACUUAAGGAAUUGGCGGGGGAGCACAACAACGGGUGGAGCCUGCGGUUUAAUUGGACUCAACGCCGGACAACUCACCGGGACGACAGCAAUAUGUAGGCCAGGCUGAAGACCUUGCCUGAAUCGCUG